UCAGUUAAUCAAAUGCAAGCAAUGUCUUCAACUCCAGUAUUAGCUCUCUACCGGAUUUUUCCCAGCCUUUCAUUGUGGAAACCGACGCCUCGGGCACUAGAUUAGGGGCGGUUUUAAUGCAGUCUGGACGUCCAGUUGCUUAUUAUAGUCAUUCUUUGUCAGCUCGACGUAGAACCUGUUCUGUUUAUGAGAGAGAACUAAUGGCCAUUGUCUUUGCAGUGAGGAAAUGGCGCUAUUAUCUUUUGGGUCGACCAUUUAUUAUGCGGACAGAUCAAAAAGCCCUUAAGUUCCUCUUGGAACAGCGAAUUCUAGAUGACUCACAGCAAGGGUGGGUGACCAAACUCAUGGGGUACACUUUUCAGAUUCAGUACAAACCAGGGAAGACUAAUUCUGCUGCUGACGCCCUGUCUCGACAGCAGGAGCACGUGGGGCUCAAUGCCAUUACUAUGGCUCAGUCAGACGAUCUGAAUACCUGGGACUCUGAAGUCCAAAAGGACGACACUCUAGCUGGCAUAAUACAGCAGCUGGCUACUGGUCAACCGACUAUUUCAGGGUAUGCUCUCAAAGGUGGUCA